GGGUUCCGCUUGACUCUGCAUUCUCCUACUUCCCUGCCUGCUUACUCUCUGCCAUCAUAGUUUUUUGCUUCAACCUUCAAAUGUAGCCAUUCUUUUUCUAAAGCGGUACUUAUUCUCUUUAUUAGUUAAAAUUAUUAAUUUUAUGCACUUACUGUUCUAGCUCCAAUUUUGCAUUUCCAGUUCCCUGCUGGGAAUAAAUUAAAUUGGCAGAAGCUCAGUCUAAGUGCCUGCAACAGAAUUUGUCCCAUAUCCAUACAACUUGCUCCUCCACAACAAAUGGGAGAAUCAUCCUCUUACCUCCAGGCUGUGAUGGAGGAGAAGCUACCCCUCAGCACAGGAUUUUGGUAGAAUAAGAAUAAAAAUGACAAGUCCCUUCCUGAAAAGCUCUUCAUUGUCUCUUGAAAACGGUCUGUGAAAGUGCCAAACCACCAGCUCUCCAGAUGUGGCUGAAUAUCAAGGUAAAUUUAAUUUAGACUUAGCUUGGGAUCCCCGUCAUAACAAAUCGGAUAAAGCGCAUGCACACACAUGUGCACACACACGCACACACACUCAGACAUGUAAAACCCAUCCUAGACAGUUCAAACAAGGUUUGAGUACCACUUUCCACGUAUCAGGCUUACAAGGUGCCAAGAACAUAGAGUUCCUGACCUUGAGGAGCCUGC
rnacentral:lncRNA from 1 species